rnacentral:rRNA from 1 species
GGUCACUGCUAUCGGUGUUCGUCUAAGCCAUGCGAGUCAUAUGUUCUUUGGAACAUGGCGUACUGCUCAGUAACACGUGGAUAACCUGCCCUUGGGUCCGGCAUAACCCCGGGAAACUGGGGAUAAUACCGGAUAACGCAUAUAUGCUGGAAUUCUUUAUGCGUGAAAUGGAUUCGUCUGCCCAAGAAUGGGUCUGCGGCCUAUCAGGUAGUAGUGGGUGUAAUGUACCUACUAGCCGACGACGGGUACGGGUUGUGAGAGCAAGAGCCCGGAGAUGGAUUCUGAGACAUGAAUCCAGGCCCUACGGGGCGCAGCAGGCGCGAAAACUUUACAAUGCGGGAAACCGUGAUAAGGGGACACCGAGUGCCAGCAUCAUAUGCUGGCUGUCCGGGUGUGUAAAAUACACCUGUUAGCAAGGGCCGGGCAAGACCGGUGCCAGCCGCCGCGGUAACACCGGCGGCCCGAGUGGUGAUCGUGAUUAUUGGGUCUAAAGGGUCCGUAGCCGGUUUGGUCAGUCCUCCGGGAAAUCUGACGGCUUAACCGUUAGGCUUUCGGGGGAUACUGCCAGACUUGGAACCGGGAGAGGUAAGAGGUACUACAGGGGUAGGAGUGAAAUCUUGUAAUCCCUGUGGGACCACCUGUGGCGAAGGCGUCUUACCAGAACGGGUUCGACGGUGAGGGACGAAAGCUGGGGGCACGAACCGGAUUAGAUACCCGGGUAGUCCCAGCCGUAACCGAUGCACACUAGGUGACAGGCAUGGCGCGACUGUGUCUGGUGCCGCAGGGAAGCCGUGAAGCGAGCCACCUGGGAAGUGCGGCCGCAAGGCUGAAACUGAA